rnacentral:tRNA from 1 species
GGGCCCAUAGCUCAGUUGGUUAGAGCAGGGGACUCAUAAUCCCUUGGUCGUGGGUUCAAGUCCCACUGGGCCCA